rnacentral:rRNA from 1 species
GAUGAACGCUGGCGGCGUGCUUAACACAUGCAAGUCGAACGGAAAGGCCAGUGCUUGCACUGAUACUCGAGUGGCGAACGGGUGAGUAACACGUGGGUGAUCUGCCCUGCACUUCGGGAUAAGCCUGGGAAGCUGGGUCUAAUACCGGAUUGGACAAUGGUUUGGAUGCCGUUGUGGAAAGUUUUUUCGGUGUGGGAUGAGCUCGCGGCUUAUCAGCUUGUUGGUGGGGUAAUGGCCUACCAAGGCGUCGACGGGUAGCCGGCCUGAGAGGGUGUACGGCCACAUUGGGACUGAGAUACGGGCCAGACUCCUACGGGAGGCAGCAGUGGGGAAUAUUGCACAAUGGGCGGAAGCCUGAUGCAGCGACGCCGCGUGGGGGAUGACGGCCUUCGGGUUGUAAACUCCUUUCGCUAGGGAAGAAGCGUAUUUGUGACGGUACCUGGAGAAGAAGCACCGGCUAACUACGUG